CCGAGUUUACAACUCCCAAACCCAACGUGAACAUACCUCAAGUUGCUUCGGCGGGAACGCCCCGGCGCGCCCUCCGACCUCCGUCCGGGGGAUCGGGGAGCCUAGCCCGGACCCAGGCGCCCGCCGGAGGUACCUAAACUCUUGUCUUCAGUAUAUUCUUCUGAGUGGCAAACGCAAAAUAAAUCA
rnacentral:misc_RNA from 1 species